UUUGGAGGCUUACACGCCACUUGUCCAAAGGAUUUGGUUUUUUUGUUCCCAACACAAUCUAAUGAUGAGUGAAGGGAAAGAAUCACAUGGUGGUGAUGCCAUUUGGCAUCCAUGCACCAAGUUUUAGUUUUUUCUAGAGGGGAAGAUCAUGCCUAUAAGAAGGGGGGACCAAAAGACCAAGAGUCUUUUUGGAAUUUUUUGUAGAAAAGCUUAGAGAAUUUCGGUCACUCUCUUUCUCUCUACUCUCUAUCAUUUUCUUUUCACCCAAAUACCAUUCACGCCACCCACUACCCACUCAAGUUUUGUUCUAAGUGUUUGCAAGACUAAAGUCAUCUUUCACUAAGGGAAAGCCACGAUUAGUUUCUACUACCAUUUCUUUAUCCAGAAUGGUAGAAGUUGUAACGAGAUCACAAGAGGAAAACCAUGGGGAAGCAGAAGAGACCAGCUUCCCAGAUACCUAGCGAGACCCCAAAGAGGCCUUGAGGCACAUCGGAGCCAUCCAUUUUGGAAAGGUUGGAGGCCACCGACCAAUUCAUCACUAAGUUUCAUAGCUCUUCGAGAAACUAAGGAAGAUCAUGAACUAGGAUAAGGCCAAGUAAGAACGGCCUAGCAAGAAUACGUUUUGCAAUGGACCAUUAAGGUUUAGAAAAAGAGGAAUAUUUUGAUGACUUAAAAAUGAUGGUCCCUUGUUUUGGGAGUUUUGAAAAACAAUGAUGUUCUUUUGGGAGAUUUUCUGAAAUCUGAUCUUUUGGGAUUUUAUGCUUCGGUA